AGUGAACGCUGGCGGUAGGCCUAACACAUGCAAGUCGAACGGCAGCACAGUAAGAGCUUGCUCUUACGGGUGGCGAGUGGCGGACGGGUGAGGAAUACAUCGGAAUCUACUUUUUCGUGGGGGAUAACGUAGGGAAACUUACGCUAAUACCGCAUACGACCUACGGGUGAAAGCAGGGGAUCUUCGGACCUUGCCCGAUUCAAUGAGCCGAAGUCGGAUUAGCUAGUUGGCGGGGUAAAGGCCCACCAAGGCGACGAUCCGUAGCUGGUCUGAGAGGAUGAUCAGCCACACUGGAACUGAGACACGGUCCAGACUCCUACGGGAGGCAGCAGUGGGGAAUAUUGGACAAUGGGCGCAAGCCUGAUCCAGCCAUACCGCGUGAGUGAAGAAGGCCUUCGGGUUGUAAAGCCCUUUUGUUGGGAAAGAAAAACAGCAGGUUAAUACCCCGCUGUUCUGACGGUACCCAAAGAAUAAGCACCGGCUAACUUCGUG
rnacentral:rRNA from 1 species